UACAGUCGAAUAAAAAUUUCAUCACACUUAUAUCAAUAUAGUACGAUAAUUUAAAAUAAUGAGUAGUGUCAAAGAGAAAUUAUAAGCUACAAAAUCUUAUAUUAGGCAUCUAAUAUAACUCAAUAAUACAAACAUAGAUCAUAAAUCAUAUAUUAUCGUAAAUUCAUUAUAAAUAUCAUCAAUGGAUUUAUAUGGCUUUUAAUUUAUGUUUCAUUAAUAUGAUUCAAAAUAAUAGUUAUCUUUUAGUUUUGGACUAGCUAUGAUCAUGCUUCGACUUGUCACUUGCAAAUCAUAAACUAUACUUCAGCCCA
rnacentral:lncRNA from 1 species